rnacentral:rRNA from 1 species
UAUCCGGAUUUAUUGGGCGUAAAGGGCUCGUAGGCGGCUCGUCGCGUCCGGUGUGAAAGUCCAUCGCUUAACGGUGGAUCUGCGCCGGGUACGGGCGGGCUGGAGUGCGGUAGGGGAGACUGGAAUUCCCGGUGUAACGGUGGAAUGUGUAGAUAUCGGGAAGAACACCGAUGGCGAAGGCAGGUCUCUGGGCCGUCACUGACGCUGAGGAGCGAAAGCGUGGGGAGCGAACAGGAUUAGAUACCCUGGUAGUCCACGCCGUAAACGGUGGACGCUGGAUGUGGGGCACGUUCCACGUGUUCCGUGUCGGAGCUAACGCGUUAAGCGUCCCGCCUGGGGAGUACGGCCGCAAGGCUAAAACUCAAAGAAAUUGACGGGGGCCCGCACAAGCGGCGGAGCAUGCGGAUUAAUUCGAUGCCACGCGAAGAACCUUACCUGGGCUUGACAUGUUCCCGACCACGCCAAAAUGGCGUUUCCCUUCGGGGCGGGUUC